UGAUUAAUCGCGUGAUUCUGCUUUUCGAUCGUUUCAACUUCGCCCAAGGAUCGACGAACGAAAUACAACGACGAGGGUGUACCGUCAAUCACGGUCAAUGUCGGUGCUGCCCUCUAUACGUUGAAAUUUCCAUUCCAAAUAGAAUCUAGCUUACCGACUAACGCGGGAUUGCGAUUCCUGCACCGAUGUAAGUUGCUUCUGAUGCCGAUUCGCCGAUAACGAGCUACGUACACAUCGUGAUAUGUAAUCACGGGACCUAAAUGUCGAUACAUGCACCGCAACACGUUUUAACGCGCGUAGAAAUCUUCACGAGAUACGUUCUUCGAGGUUAAUCCGACGAAGAUACCAGCGAACGAUUUUUACACGAAUGUUUGGAUCAUUGGUAGCGUAGAUUUCGCUUCGGAUAUCGGUAACAGUCCCAAUUAUCAGCUCCGUUUUAUUUUCUGACGUCUACGAGACGUCAAGAGGACAAAUUGAUCGUCGUAAUAGUUAGUCGUUAAACAUCAUGAAAUUUUGAAGAAAAUUUUGAUAAUAAUUGUUGGGGUUGAAACUUGGGAUAGCGUUAGUUAACGACGGAAAAGCUACUACUAAUUGCGGUUCGUUUGGAUAAGCGUCUGUUCAUUGGACGAGAGUCUCUUAUUUAUUUAAUGUAAAUUAAUAUGUUUGGUAUCGAUGGCGCCCUCUACGCGUUGAAAGCCGCGUGUCUACGGGGAUUUGCUCACCAACUAAGACGGCAAGCAUAGAUAAAAGUUGCUGUUUGAUGGUGAUCCGCCGAUACCAAAUUACAUGCUCGUAACAUGUAAUCAUGAGACCUAAGCGCCGAUGUAUGCGCCGCAACGUUGAUCAACGUGGUUCAACGCCUUUAGCGAUAAGGACACGAGCACAGAUAACGGUCUAUGAUACGACCAGACUAUUAUUAAUAAAUAAUAAAUGUCGAUCGAUGAAAAAUCUUGUCGGAGCAUGUACGAGCAUGUACAAUAACGGCCUUCGCGAUUAAGUUCAUUAUUUAAAACUACUGUGUCUAGCGAAUAAACACAAUUGUAACAAUGUAGUAUGCCACUCGUAUAUGGGAACAGAACAUAAAUAUAAUUCGUACGUGUGA